rnacentral:rRNA from 1 species
UGGGGGAUAUUGCACAAUGGGCGAAAGCCUGAUGCAGCGACGCCGCGUGGGGGAUGAAGGCCUUCGGGUUGUAAACUUCUUUUGCUCUGAACAAGGCGCACCAUGGGGUGUGUUGAGUGUAGGGGUUGAUUAGCGCCGGCUAACUACGUGCCAGCAGCCGCGGUAAUACGUAGGGCGCGAGCGUUGUCCGGAAUUAUUGGGCGUAAAUGGCUUGUAGGUGGCUGGUUGCGUCUGUCGUGAAAGCUCAUGGCUUAACUGUGGGUUUGCGGUGGGUACGGGCUGGCUUGAGUGCAGUAGGGGAGGCUGGAAUUCCUGGUGUAGCGGUGGAAUGCGCAGAUAUCAGGAGGAAUACCGGUGGCGAAGGCGGGUCUCCGGGCUGUUACUGACACUGAGGAGCGAAAGCAUGGGGAGCGAACAGG